rnacentral:rRNA from 1 species
ACGAACGCUGGCGGCGUGCCUAAUACCUGCAAGUUGAGCGAUGAAGAUUGGUGCUUGCACCAAUUUGAAGAGCAGCGAACGGGUGAGUAACGCGUGGGGAAUCUGCCUUUGAGCGGGGGACAACAUUUGGAAACGAAUGCUAAUACCGCAUAAUAACUUUAAACAUAAGUUUUAAGUUUGAAAGAUGCAAUUGCAUCACUCAAAGAUGAUCCCGCGUUGUAUUAGCUAGUUGGUGAGGUAAAGGCUCACCAAGGCGAUGAUACAUAGCCGACCUGAGAGGGUGAUCGGCCACAUUGGGACUGAGACACGGCCCAAACUCCUACGGGAGGCAGCAGUAGGGAAUCUUCGGCAAUGGACGAAAGUCUGACCGAGCAACGCCGCGUGAGUGAAGAAGGUUUUCGGAUCGUAAAACUCUGUUGGUAGAGAAGAACGUUGGUGAGAGUGGAAAGCUCAUCAAGUGACGGUAACUACCCAGAAAGGGACGGCUAACUACGUG